rnacentral:piRNA from 1 species
UUGGAAUAGAACAGAACUGUAUGGAGUUC